AUAAGAUUAGCAGAAGAAAUCUCUAAAGCAGACAUUACAGCAUUCAAAGUUGUAUUAGUGGCAGUUGCAGUCAUUGCUAGAAAGCAUUGAACAUUGAGUCUAGCGCGAAGUAUAGGUGCCCUGAGCCUCAUGUAUGAGGGCCGGAAAUUAUGUGACCAUUCAGAAAUACAGUGAGCUUCAUCAACCACAAGAAGUGAUAUAGAAAUGGCAGAAAAAUUUGGCAAGAAUUCUGCAUUUAGAAAUCUCUCUGGUGAAACAAAAAGGACCUUUAUGGCCGCUUCUUUCACUAGCCUGAGUGUCUCAGCGGCUUCUUGGGAUGUCUGACUGCUACUCAACAGGCCUCCCUGAAGCUCUGGAGGCAGCUGUUUCAACUGAUCAAUCAUCAAUGCCACUAAUGGACUCACGACCAGCGUAAUCCCCGGCAAAAGCAUCGCGGGUAUCUGAUAACACAGCGAUUUACCAGCACCAGUAGGCAAAACCAGCAUGGUCGACUUCCCAUCCAGCACCAUCUUGAUUGCUUCCAGUUGCCCAUCUCUAAAUGAAUCGUAUCCGUACAUCACAUUCAACAGCUUCACCAAAUUCUCAUCUGACGCCUCAUUUUGAACUGCAAAAACUGCCUCCUCAAUUACCUCGCUUCCCUUACCCCGCUUCGGCUUCUGUUCCAUAAUUUCACUGAUUAAACCAUCCUCAAGAUUGGCAUCGCAGACACUCUUCCUUUCGGCUUUCUGUUUUCGCUUGCUUCUUCUAUAAGAUUUGAAGCCGCUUGAUCCAUACCCAUUUUUACUUGUGGCUUUUCGGUUCAAGAACUUGCGUUUAUUUCGAUUCAUAUUUAGCUUAACAAAAUUUCCUUCACUGACACUGUAUUUGCGCAAUUUCGCAGGGGGCAAAGGCGCAUUAGCUCCUAUCAAAUUAGGAUGCUUCUUAAAGGAGUUGGGUUUGUUUCCUUGCGAGACAUGAUCAGUGGAAUUAGCUCCUGCAGAAAUUUGAGGGCGAGUAUCGUUUUCGGUGCUCUCGAAAUUGAGAGAGGGUCUAUGGAUUUUGGAGAAGGAAGCGGAUUUUGAGAAGUAGCCUGCAGGAAGCGUUUCAAUGGAAAGGGAAAUGGGCACUGUGGGGCGGCUUUGAACGAAAGGAUGACAGAUCUGGAAGGGGAGAGUGGAUGGAGGAGGGAGGUUUGGUGCAGGUUCAUCCUGAGAGGGUUUUGGAGGCGAUUUGGUUAAUGGUUUUGAGGUUUUUUUUGAGCCGAAGGAGGUUUUAACCCUAGUUCUGGAUUUGUGAGAGGAGGACAGAAUUUGUGGAAGUGGCUGCGGCGGCGGAGGAGGAGGAAGAGGUGAUGGUGAUGGUGGUUGUGGUUUUGAGUUUCUUGGAGGGGUGGCAGAGAUGUGUGACCCAUCGGAGUCUGAAUCGGAUUCCA
rnacentral:misc_RNA from 1 species